rnacentral:rRNA from 1 species
GACGAACGCUGGCGGCGUGCCUAAUACAUGCAAGUCGAGCGGACAUGGGUGGGUCUUGUCCCUCCUGGGUGAGCGGCGAACGGGUGAGUAACACGUGGAGAAACUGCCUAUGAGAGGGGGAGAACAUUUGGAAACGAGGGCUAAUACCGCAUAAAAUCUUUAACCUCACGUUUUAAGAUUGAAAGAUGCGAUUGCAUCACUCAAUGGGGGUUCCGCGUUCAAUUAGUUAGUUGGUUAGGUAACGGCCUACCAAGGCGACGAUGCGUAGCCGACCUGAGAGGGUGAUCGGCCACACUGGAACUGAGACACGGCCCAGACUCCUACGGGAGGCAGCAGUAGGGAAUCUUCCGCAAGGGGCGAAAGCUUGACGGAGAAACGCCGCGUGAGUGAUGAAGGUUUUCGGACCUUAAACCUCGGUUGUAAAGGAAGAACUUGUUGUGAAGUAACUGCUCAGGAAGUGACGGUACCUAACCAGAAAGCCACGGCUAACUACGUG